rnacentral:rRNA from 1 species
GUGCACCAGUCGCGAAACCUCCGCAAUACACGAAAGUGUGACGGGGCCAUCCCGAGUGCCGUCCGCUGAGGACGGCUUUUCCCCAGUGUACACAGCUGGGGGAAUAAGGAGAGGGCAAGCCUGGUGUCAGCCGCCGCGGUAAUACCAGCUCUCCGAGUGGUGGGGACGCUUAUUGGGCCUAAAGCAUCCGUAGCCGGCUGGGCAAGUCCUCCGUUAAAUCCAACGAUUCAAUCGUUGGGCUGCGGGGGAUACUGUCCAGCUUGGGGGCGGGAGAGGCCGACGGUAUUCCCGGGGUAGGGUGAAAUCCUAAUAAUCCCGGGAGGACCACCAGUGGCGAAGGCUGUCGGCUAGAACGCGCCCGACGGUGAGGGAUGAAAGCGUGGGGGAGCGAACCGGAUUAGAUA